CGGUGAUAUAAUUAAACGGCUGCAGUACUCUGACUGUGCAAAGGUAGCAUGAUCAAUUGUCUGGUAAUUCCAGUCUGGUAUGAAUGGUUAGACGAUAGGAACGCUGUCUUUUUCUCUUUUGUUGAAAUUGACUACCAGGUGCGGAGGCCUGGAUUGGAGAGUGGGACGAGAAGACCCUAUAGAGCUUUAACUUUAGCUAUAAAAUCAUUGUUAUGGUGUGUGUUUUAGUUGGGGCAACUAUUCUUAUUAUUAAACAUUUAUAGUAAUCUAGUAAAUUUAAUUUAUGUGGACCCUAAAUCUUUAGGUAGUUAGAAAAAGUUACCUUAGGGAUAACAGCGUAAUUUCUCUUGAGAGUUCUUAUUAA
rnacentral:rRNA from 1 species